AGCGAACGCUGGCGGCAGGCCCAAUACAUGCAAGUCGAACGGCUCUUCGGAGCAGUGGCGGACGGGUGAGUAACGCGUGGGAAUGUGCCCUUAGGUACGGAACAACACAGGGAAACUUGUGCUAAUACCGUAUGUGCCCUUCGGGGGAAAGAUUUAUCGCCUUUGGAGCAGCCCGCGUUGGAUUAGGUAGUUGGUGAGGUAAAGGCUCACCAAGCCGACGAUCCAUAGCUGGUCUGAGAGGAUGACCAGCCACACUGGAAGUGGGACACGGCCCAGACUCCUACGGGAGGAAGCAGUAGGGAAGCUUGCGCAAUGGGCGAAAGCCUGACGCAGCCAUGCCGCGUGUAUGAUGAAGGUCUUAGGAUUGUAAAAUACUUUCACCGGGGAAGAUAAUGACGGUACCCGGAGAAGAAGCCCCGGCUAACUUCGUGCCAGCAGCCGCCGUAA
rnacentral:rRNA from 1 species